GGGGACAAGAGAGGAGAGAAAAGGAGCGGGGGUCUCUUUGUAUCUGUGUCCAAUAUGGUCUCUUUUGAUUUUUCAUUCUCCAUAGUGAAGGGCUCCCCAGGGACUCUCAUCUGUUACAGACUGGGCUGUACCUGCCUGCCUGUGUGAAAGUUGCUCAGCUGCUGCCCGGAUGAGGGGAACAUAUCACAUCUAUCUCCCUGGCAUCCGCUGAGCCCGCGGCCUGCAAGGAUCAUGCCCCACGUGGAGCACAAAGGCAGGUCUGAAGAGAAAGGCCGACCUUGUGCAUUGUCGGAUGCUCUUUGUGUUGGACGCUGGGGGUCAGCGCUUGCUCCACAUUCUUGCUUACUCUGUGAGACAGGAGGAGAGUUCCCGUGUGCAGGAUCCAGAAUUCAUGCUGGAGAUGAAUUUUACUAAGUCAUUUGGAAAGCAUCAUUCAAUUCUUCAUACUCAGUAAUAGUCACUGUGGCCUGCUUCUGCAGACCUAAGGGAGGGAGGCAUGGCUCACAUCCAGUGUACUCAACUGGUAUGCUAGUUGAUAAAAUGAAUGUUAGAUUUACAUCCAAAUAAACAGCUUUGAAUCCUU
rnacentral:lncRNA from 1 species